rnacentral:rRNA from 1 species
GGAUGCGAUCAUAUCAGUAUUAACAUAUCGGAUUUCAUCAAAAUUUUCAUCAAGUUAAAAGUACUUGGACGAAAGUAGUACUAAGGUAUGUGAUCCUCGGAAAGCAGAGGCGGAUGUAGUAC